CUUUGAACUAUUUCUCUCUCAAAUUCUUGAUAUUCACUCACUCAGAUGGGUUAAUGCAUUAUGCACUUUUAGUACCAUUGGAUUUGCCGGUACAACCAUUGGUGUUACAAUUUACAAUGGUAAGAAGAUUGAUAGAACAUCAGUUAACUACAGUUUGCAGGGUAAUUAUGCGUCGAAGUCCUUCAAAGCCUUCAAUGCUCUUGGAACCAUUGCCUUUUCAUUUGGUGAUGUAAUACUUCCAGAAAUACAGUCGCCAGACUCAAAAUUUCGAAAAGAGGGAUAAGCUAACACAAUCUGCAGUGUCCGUUCUCCGAAAUUCCCAGAGAUGUGAGCAACCUGCUAGUAGUUCUUCAAGAUCCCAUCAUGACUCAUCUGGGAACUUUACUUGUUCUAGCAACAUUUCAAGUAUGGUUGUGGAUCGUUACAUCGAUGGGGAGCAGCAACUAGAGGAAACUAGACCCCGGAGUAGUUCACAGAGAAAAAUCAG